AUUGUGCUUAGUGAAAGCCCAGUUUCCGCAGGGAUUACUUUGGGCACACAACAUUCUAGGAGCUGGAUGUCCAGGAAUUCCUGUUAAUUAGGCAUUUAUUCACGGAAUAAAUGUUUCCCUGAAGAGCUUUCUGCAGCUGGCCAAUGUUCCGGUUUGGUCGUGGGCAGUGAGAUGCCCAUUAGUCUAGAAUACACGACAGUGUGAGGCGCACGUUCACACGUGAAUUGCCCGUAGUCAAGGAUCUUGCUAUGGUGCCCAGGCUGGCCUUGAACUUCUGGCCUCAAGCAAUCCACCCAUCUCAGUCUCCCGAGUAGCCGGGAUUACAGAUCUACAUUUAGAACAGGACUGCAAAGAAAGGAAAGGAGAAAUGAAGAAAAGGAAGCAGACAAAGUUCUGGUUUUCAGUAGUUCCUUGGAGAGCUCAAGACUCAGACUCUGACCCUGUCUGCAAAGGGGGAUCGUCCAGCCUUUGAAAUAACCAUUUCCUUCCCUCCUGGCCUUUUUCAGAUCAGAGAGGUGGGAGGGGGCGUGGAGAUUUAGUUCCCGGAUGCACUGAACAGGAGGCUGUGAGCUUUCCUCUGAUGUGCGACUCUUCUGCAGGGGCCCUGGCCCUGGGAGGCGGGGCUCUGGGCUGCGGCAGCUCCUCCUGUGGUCUACCUUGGCUUCACUGCAGGCCCAGCUGCUGCUGACCACGCGGGUUUCUUUUAAGAGGCUUGGCUGACCCUCAGCACAGCUGAAAUGUUCUGAGACCUUGAAUGUCAGAGAUGGAAGCAACUUUAUGAUUCUCUGGGCCAGAGGUUCCCAGGCUGGGGUCCCUGGACUUGGGGUGCUCAGACUAUUCCCGGUUCUUUCAAAAGCUGAAAAGAAACAGUAUAUAGCCCCUGUGUGAGGGCUCACGGGCUCGUAAAAGUAUCCGGUGUCUUGACUUUUCUCUGAAAUCAGCUCCAGCUGGUCCCUCUGUACCCUGGUGUUGCUGGUGACAGUGAUAGCUUCCCACUGAACUUAGCUGCUAGAAGCAAGGUGAAGCCCUUCACACACCAUCUCACUGAUCUUCGAUCCUGUAAGAUGGGUACGUUUAUGAGUCCUAUUUUGCAGAUGGAGACACUAAGUGCCAAAGGGGUUAAGCACUGUGCCCGAGUUCACACACCCAGCAGCCUGACUCCACAGCUCCAACCCCCAGCUACUAGCAAAUAGUCCUCUGAAAGCUCAGUUAUUUAGCUUUGAACACAGCAAAACUCAUCAUUAUUCAGGGAAGAUAAUUUAGUAGAGAAAAUGUUGAGAUCUAAGUACUACACUUAGGAGGAAUAAUAAAAGGGUUGGUGGAAUAGUUGAGGAUAUGCCAUUUUUAAUUUUUUAUUGAUUUUGUUUUGUUUUGUUUUGUUUUUCUUUGCUCUUGAGAGAUGGCACAUGCCACUUUGUUUUGUAAAACAAAGGCCUAGAGAAGUGAGGGUCCUGCCCAGUGUCAUCUUGGGAACUGGUAGCCAGGACGAGAACUUGUUUCACUUUGCGUGGACUUCUUGGGUCUGACUCCAGAGGGCCUCCAGGGCAGCAGUGGCUUGUCCCGAGCUGAUGGCAUAUGACUGGGGGUUCCCUGGAAGGGUCUCUGACAUCCCCCUGUCCUGGCAGGCCACUCCCCAGCAAGGGUCAGGCCACACAUCUUGACUAGCUUUCCACCAGUCCCCACCGACCUCCCACCAGCUGCACAUUGCCUUGGCCUUGCCAGACCACAGAGCCGUUUAGAGCUGGCAGAGGCCAGCAGAAUUCAUCUUCAGCAAACUCUUCCUUCCAAUCCCAUCAUUGUACAUGUACUUUAUGAUUUGCAAAGUGCUUCCACAUCUUCCACAUCAUUCAACUUGAGACCCAGGGCUGUUCUGGGAGCUGGGUGGGGGAGGGAUAGUACCCCAUUUUACAAAAGGAGAAAAGGAAGUUCUAAGAGGCAAAGUACCUUGUUCAAGGUCACACACUCAGAUAAGAAAUGUUGGAGUCAGAAGUUGGAGCUGGGUUGACCUUUUCCAUUCCAGUGCCUGUUGCACCAAACAGCCUCCCUGUUUGGAAUGAGGAAUUGCAAGAAGCAGCGGUAAGUCACAUGCCAAGCUGGGUUGUGCCAAGAACUUUAUAUUUAACUAACAGCAUCGCCAUUAACCAUAUCUUUUUUCCCAUAGUGGACAAAUACAGGUACCUAAAUUAAAACAAUUUUAUCUGUGUCAACCAAGAUUGCAGGCCUGCACUCUGAGAACUCAUGAUGUAAUGAAUAGACACAAAUGUUCAAGGCAGAAGUGGUUUAUAUUCUAGACUCAUAACUGUCUCACUGUGACCCUGAGAAAAUGUUAUGCUCUGGGCCCCUGUUUUCCAUGUGUACAAUGAAGAUAAUAAUACCUAACACCUACCUUGCUUGUUAUGAAAAUGAUUAGGGCCGUCAUAUACAAGUUUCUUCGUAAAAUUUUAAGACGUGUUAUACAACUAUUACACAUGACCAUGAAUCUUCGUAAACACCUAAGGCAAGGGAAAUUCACAUACACACACACACACACACACACACACACACACACACACAUAAACACAUUUAUAUGUAAUUAAUGAUGAAUAAGUACAUCCUAAGUAGUUUACAUGGCUCAUUCUAUUAAUUGGAACAAGAGCCUUGUGGAAGCUAGUACCAUGAUCAUUCCCAUUUUAUAGAUGAGGAAACUGAAACCCAGAGAUCUUAAGUAACAGGUAGCAAAUGGCAGAAGCAGGAUAUGAAAUCUGGAUAACAGGUAAGCUCUUUAACAGCCAAGGUGCAUCAGAAUCACCUGAAGGGCUGGUUAAAAUAUGAAAUGCUGAGUCCCACCCCGUGAUUCUGAUUCAAUAGGUUUGGUGUGGGGCCUGAAAAUUGGAUGCUGAUACUGCCGGAUCAGGGACCACACUUUGAGAGCCACUAUGUUAAGCUUUGUGCCCAAGACCACAUACCCAGCAGUCUGACUCCACAGCUCCAACCCUCAACUACUAGCAAAUAAAUAGUCUUUUAAAAGCUCAGUUGUAUAGCUUUGGAUACUGCAAAACUCAUCAUGAUUCAGGGAAGGGAAUUUGGUAGAGAAAAUGUUGGGGUCUCAGUACUACACGUAGGAGGAAUAAUAAAAGGGUCUCACUGCUUGUAAUCCCAGCACUUUGGGAGGCCGAGGCGGGCUGAUCACGAGGUCAGGAGAUCGAGACCAUCCUGGCCAACAUGGUGAAACCCUGUCUCUACUAAAAUACAAAAAAUGAGCCUGGUGUGAUGGUGCAUGCCUAUAGUCCCAGCUACUCGGGAGGCCGAGGCAAGGGAAUCGCUUGAACCCAGGAGGCAGAGGUUGCAGUAAGCUGAGAUCGCGCCACUGCACUCCAGCCUGGCAACAGAGCAAGGCUGUGUCUCAAAGAAAAAAAAAAAGUGUCUCACUGUAUACAGAGCUCUCCUGCCCUUCCAAUGGCCCAAUCCAGGCCCCCUGAGGCCUGUGACACAGGUUAGCUGGAUCUCUGUAUGCACUAGGUGCUUGACUUAUGUCUGGUAGAUACAUGUUACGCUAAUGGAGAGGUGUGGAAGUGGACGGUGAUGCUGGGUAGACCUUUUCUCCUUCGGAAACCAAGUGAGAGAAGUUACCCCAUGCAUUUGCCUGUGUUUGAAGGCCCUGCAGGUGCCUGAAUCUUUGUGGCUGUGGCUACUCAGGCCCUUCCCCAGGGCCAUCCAGCAGGAGGGAAGGCCAUUUGUCUGGAAAAGGCACAGGAGAGAAUUCACAUGAUGUCUUCCCAGCUCCCAUCAGUCAGGGUUUCCCUUUAAGCUCCUCACACUCCCAGAUUUCAGGAAACAGUCUAUGAAUGGAGAGAAAAGGCACAGCCUUCAAAAACAGAAAGCACAGACCAAGAAUAUUUAAAUUCAAUAAACCUAAUUUAAUUUAUGUUUUUGAAAAGAAAUAAGAAACCAACUUCCAGAAGAAGAGAAGCAUUUCAGAAAACAGGGGUUGAGCCAAAAGCUGUGGUCACAGAUAUAAGAGAGUAAAAAAUCAAGGGCAUAUGGAUAUCCACUUGUUCCAGAACUAUAUUUGUGGAAAAGACUAUGCUUUCUCUACUAAAUUGCAUUGAUAUUUUUGUAAAAAAUCAGUUGUCCAGACCUAGAAUAGCCAAAACAAUCUUGAAAAACAACAAAGUUGGAGGACUCACACUUCACAAUUUCAAAAUUUACUACAAAUCUGCAGCAAUCAAGACUGUGUGGUACUGGUGUAAAGACAGACUUAUAUCAAUAGCACAGAAUUUGAGAGUCCAGAAAUACAAGCUCACAUUUAUGAUAAGUUGAUUUUCUGCAAUGGUGCCAAGAUCAUUCAAUGGAGGAAAAAAACCAGAAUCUUCAACAAAUGGUGUUGGGGCAACUGGAUAUCCAUAUGCAAAAGAAUGAAGUUGGACCCCUGACUUACACCAUAUAAAAACAUUAACUCAAAAUGAACCAAAGACCCAAAUGUAAGAGCUAAAACUAUAAAGCUUUGAGAAGAAAACAUAGGUAUAAAUCUUCAUGACUUUGAAUUAGGCAAUGGGAUAUUUCCUCAUUUAGUUUGGUCUUGUUUAACUUCUCUCAGCAAUGUUUUGUAGUUUUCAGUAUAAAUCUUGCACAGCUCUGGCCAGACUUAUGCCUAAGCAUUUCAUAUUUUUGUGUUACUGUAAAUGGUAUUGUCUUUGAAUUGCAAUUACCAAUUUUUUUUUGCUUGUGUAUAGUAAUAAAAUUGAUUUCUUUAUGUUGAUUUGAUAUCCUGCAACCUUGCUAAGCUCACUUAUUAGUUCUGCAGCUUUAAUGUAGAUUUCAUCAGAUUUUCCCCAUUGACAAUUAUGCCAUCUGUGAAUAAAGGCAGUUUCUGAUCUGGAUG
ensembl:lncRNA ADIPINT adipocyte associated pyruvate carboxylase interacting lncRNA